GCUUUCUUUGUAUAAUAAAUGUAUCAUCACUACAUGUCCAAAUUGUAAAGCUAUCCACUCUCCUGUGUAUUAAGGGAAUAGGGACAAAAGAUUCUGGAUGGAUUGUAACCAGUAGGUUAUCUUGAGACUCUCCUGGGGACAGAUGAGCAUGAUCUUGAACCAGACUAACUGAACUAGACUCACUCAUCUGUCGCUGAGAUUACAAAAUGCAGCCUAUGAUACAAGGAUUCCACCAGGACAGUAGAUCUGACAGAAGAAGGCAGUCUGUUUUCAUUUCAUUAAAUUCUGCAUUGGAGAAUGGACUAGGCAACCAGCUGUUAAUAUGCAAAGACCAGGGAGAAACAAGUCAGCAUUCCAGAAGCAGAGAGGAAGAUAGCAGAUGCAAAGGGUCUGGAGUCUUGGACCUGGAGAUUGGCCAGAAGCAAGAGACACUAACAGUGCCUGUAUUUGGAAAGAUUUGCUUUAAAGACCCAGAGCUGCCUGGUUCUUGAAGGAGCUUGACAAGUCAGCUCUGAUAGUGAUAACAAAGUCUACUCCCAAAACAACAUCUCUUUUCCCUGGAGAGCAAUCUGACACACAGAAUUAUUG
rnacentral:lncRNA from 1 species